GAGUUGAUCCUGGCUCAGGACGAACGCUGGCGGCGUGCCUAAUACAUGCAAGUCGAGCGGACAGAUGGGAGCUUGCUCCCUGAUGUUAGCGGCGGACGGGUGAGUAACACGUGGGUAACCUGCCUGUAAGACUGGGAUAACUCCGGGAAACCGGGGCUAAUACCGGAUGGUUGUUUGAAYCGCAUGGUUCAAACAUAAAAGGUGGCUUCGGCUACCACUUACAGAUGGACCCGCGGCGCAUUAGCUAGUUGGUGAGGUAAYGGCUCACCAAGGCRACGAUGCGUAGCCGACCUGAGAGGGUGAUCGGCCACACUGGGACUGAGACACGGCCCAGACUCCUACGGGAGGCAGCAGUAGGGAAUCUUCCGCAAUGGACGAAAGUCUGACGGAGCAACGCCGCGUGAGUGAUGAAGGUUUUCGGAUCGUAAAGCUCUGUUGUUAGGGAAGAACAAGUACCGUUCGAAUAGGGCGGUACCUUGACGGUACCUAACCAGAAAGCCACGGCUAACUACGUGCCAGCAGCCGCGGUAAUACGUAGGUGGCAAGCGUUGUCCGGAAUUAUUGGGCGUAAAGGGCUCGCAGGCGGUUUCUUAAGUCUGAUGUGAAAGCCCCCGGCUCAACCGGGGAGGGUCAUUGGAAACUGGGGAACUUGAGUGCAGAAGAGGAGAGUGGAAUUCCACGUGUAGCGGUGAAAUGCGUAGAGAUGUGGAGGAACACCAGUGGCGAAGGCGACUCUCUGGUCUGUAACUGACGCUGAGGAGCGAAAGCGUGGGGAGCGAACAGGAUUAGAUACCCUGGUAGUCCACGCCGUAAACGAUGAGUGCUAAGUGUUAGGGGGUUUCCGCCCCUUAGUGCUGCAGCUAACGCAUUAAGCACUCCGCCUGGGGAGUACGGUCGCAAGACUGAAACUCAAAGGAAUUGACGGGGGCCCGCACAAGCGGUGGAGCAUGUGGUUUAAUUCGAAGCAACGCGAAGAACCUUACCAGGUCUUGACAUCCUCUGACAAUCCUAGAGAUAGGACGUCCCCUUCGGGGGCAGAGUGACAGGUGGUGCAUGGUUGUCGUCAGCUCGUGUCGUGAGAUGUUGGGUUAAGUCCCGCAACGAGCGCAACCCUUGAUCUUAGUUGCCAGCAUUCAGUUGGGCACUCUAAGGUGACUGCCGGUGACAAACCGGAGGAAGGUGGGGAUGACGUCAAAUCAUCAUGCCCCUUAUGACCUGGGCUACACACGUGCUACAAUGGACAGAACAAAGGGCAGCGAAACCGCGAGGUUAAGCCAAUCCCACAAAUCUGUUCUCAGUUCGGAUCGCAGUCUGCAACUCGACUGCGUGAAGCUGGAAUCGCUAGUAAUCGCGG
rnacentral:rRNA from 1 species